UUAAGAGCCUGUAGGACGAACGUAGCUAUCAUUAGAAGCUGAUACACCAUGCUGUUCAAAACUUUAUACCUGUUCUUCAUCAUGUGUUUCCUCAGCAUGCCUGCAAUUAUGGCAAGCCGUCAAGCCCAAGUCCGUCGACCAGUUAUAAUAAGAUCGUCCCAUCGUGGUUAUGGAAGAAGAGGUUGAAGUGACCUUAUUUUUUUUGCUUCUUUGUAUAAAUAAAACCUUUAAGCCAA